rnacentral:lncRNA from 1 species
AGGAGGGGGAGGUGAUGGUGAUGGAGGAGGUGGUGAUGGUGAAGGUGGUGGAGGUGAUUUGUAGAUGUAAGGAGGAGGAGGUGAUGGAGAUGGAGGAGGUGGGGAUUUGUAAACAUAUGGAGGUGGAGGUGAGGGAGAUGGUGGUGGUGGGGAUUUGUAAAUGUAAGGAGGGGGAGGUGAGGAUGAUGGAGAAGAUGGAGACUUAUAAACGUAAGAAGGAGGAGCUGAUGGAGAUAGAGUAGGAGAUUUGUAAAUAUAAGGAGGUGGUGGUGAUUUGUAAUUAUAAGGAGGGGGAGGUGAUGGAGAGGGUGGAGGUGAUGGUGAUGGCGGUGGUGGUGGUGGUGAUGGAGAAGGUGGACGUGAUUUAUAGCGAUAAGGCGGAAAGUCGCGUUGAUAAUAAAGUGGUGGUGGAGACUUAUAAACAUAUGGUGGUGGAGGUGGAGAUGCAUAAAUGUAAGGCUUGUCAUCGGCAGCUACAUUGGAGCUGGCUAUCAAGCCCAAUGCCAACACAUAAACCAGGUGAGGCCAAAUAUUGGCCAUUUCUGGAAAUUCUCGAACAAUACACCAGAAAAGUUCCCUCCUGCAGCUUAGGACUCUACCUUAAGGAUGGAAGGGGGAAUCUGUGAAUGACUGCAGAGGAGGGGCUCAGAGAUUACAUAGUAAUCGCUUAGGAGACUUCCAACAUUUGUUUAAUGGUUGUUUGAAGCUUCCAACCUUUAACAAGUCCUACACUAAAAAAAAAAUCCCAGUUUAUUCAAACGCUUGGAAGUUGGAAUGGGAACCCACUAACUUCUAUAUGAAAAACAUAACACAUUUCUGUGUCCAAGAAAUGGUCAUCAAGAAGAGUAAAAUGUGCAAGAACAUAUCAACUUGAGCAGGUCUCCGGUGACGUAAAAUGGAAACAGUCAGCUGUCUGAAAUGUACUAACCAGGACUGUCCGGUGUGUGGAUUAAAAUAUGAUAAAGUUUGGAACCAUUGGACCUGGAUCAAUAUUAGUGGCAUUGACAUUAGCAUUCUUUCCAUUCUUUUAGCAUUUAUAAUCAUGGAAAAUAUUGUUGGUGCGUCAUAGUCUCAGCUUGUCAGAAUAGACCAUUAUCAUUUGAUUAUGUGUGGCUUGGGAUCAAUUAGUCAAGAACAUCCUUGGCACGUUGUGAUCUACAUAUAUGUUUCAUUUUUCCAUGUACACCAAGAAAAAAUGGUCUCCUCCUUUUUCAGAACUUUGUUCCUAAUUGACUUUGGCCAUAGAUUUAAAAAAAUUUCAAAGCAACAAAUAUGUUUUACCAGUUCUGUUUUUCCAUGGUUAAUGUUAUUGGGAUGAGAACGGUAUGCACUAAGCCAAAAGCCAGUGCCAAAUUUUCUACAAAUGCAUGCAAGCCUAAUUUAAAUCACCACAUAUUUUUUCAAUAGAAAUUCAUUUCUUGGAUGGUAUUCUCCUCUUUGCUAGCUUUACAAAAGAUUGGAUUUUCCUAUUUAACAUGAGCAAGAAUACUAUGAACACUUCAUUUCUUUUUCUCUUUCUCAUGAUUUUUUGUAAAAUGCUUUGGGUUGCCUCUCAUCCUUCAUCAUUGCAAUUAAUCAGAUUCCAAAGUUGAGCUGGUUAACUAGCUCACUCACUAAUGGAUUAUGUGACAGAUUUUGCAUUUUGUAGUCCUUCCUUCAAAAAAGGGUGCAUUCAAAUUGUAAAAAGAGCACUUCUAAGCCUCCCAAAAGCACUCUUAACUAAUGGGCUCUAAAGUAUAUUUUAUGGUGCUUUUGCAAAGACAGAAUGGAGAAAGGCUUAGUAAGAUUAUCCAUGGUUCUCCGAAUUCAGUUUUGUUUUCUCGACAAAAAGGUUAAUUAACAUGAAAAAAUAUUACUUGUAUAUAGAAAUGAGUAGAAGUAGUGGACCCUUUUUUUUCCAUUAGAUCUGAGUAAAGAUGAAAGUUAUUUGGCAAAAGGAAAGAAACGUCAUUAAUCUCUUAAAUAUCUUCUUCAUGCAUUUUGCUAGAUAAAGGAUUGAUGGGGCGGGCAACAAAGGGAGAUUAUUUAAGGAGAUUUUGUAAUAACUACUUUGGAAUUGGGAGGUUUAGAAAGUGGAAGAGAAAAUGUUCAAGGAAUUAUUCAUUCCUCAAAUCUUCAUCCAUUCCUUUGUAUAGGGUUUGCCUCUAAAGGUCAACAAAACUGUUCAAAGUGUCUUUGAUAACAAUUUUAGAAAGUGUUUUUAACGUUUGUAAUACUUAUAUAAAAAAAAUUUGGUAAGUAUUAAAAAUAUUAAAAACACAUCAUAAAAUCACUAUUAAAAGAACUUUUAAAAAUUUAUAUGAAAUUAAUCAAGUUAAAUAAAGACAAGUUCUAACCUGUGGACAUAUAUGUAGAACUAAGGUCUUAGAACUGGUGAUGAUGCUAGAGAUUGCAAUCACAACUCACAACCAAAGAUCAUACAUGCUUGAAAGAAACAGAUUGAAAGGAAAUCUAUUUCAAUAUGGAUUAUAAAGUGUUUUUGUGGUUUAUAUAAAAAACAAUGACACUACAUGCAACUACAUAUGUACUUGCUUUAUAUGCUAACGACAUUAUUUAUAUGCUAGAUAUUAACUAGACACCAUCAAUCAGGUCUAUAUAUAUAUAUAUAUAUAUAUAUAUAUAUAUAUAUAUAUAUAUAUAUAUAUAUAUAUAUAUAUAUAUAUUAUUAUUUAUAUCCUUAUACUUUGAUCUCAUUUGUUUAUUUCUUCGUUCAACAACAUAAAUCUCAUCAUGCAUGUUUAAUGAUCCGGAUUUAGAGUUCAAUAGAUAUCACUAGGGUAGCUUAGGAUUUUCUUACCUAAAAUAACUAUAAGAAGUACUCAAAGAAAAAGAAAAUGAAUGAUCUAAAAGUGGAUCCCUUGCAACACUUCAAGGAGUCGAGAUUUGUACUUGGUUGGGCUUGGAAUUCUAAUAAUCCUAGUUGGCUGGGCACUUGGCUUUCUAAUAAUUCUAGUUGUCGCAUUAACGGAAACUGUACGUAACUCAACAGUAUGGACAAUUGAAAUGUUUAUGGAGUAUUGUUAAUCAAAGCUGCCAUGGGAAAAUCUUUUGUUUGAAGCCCUUCACUGAAAUAUUCAAUAAAUAUAGCUAGCGCCACUUUCCCUUAGAAAUAAUUCCCCCCAAUACCUUAAAUGGUAUGCAUAACUUCUUAUUCACUUUACACACCUAUUCAUCUUAAUUACCAAAUGCACCCACUUUCUUUUUUUAUUUUUAUUUUUUCUUUUAACUCAUUUUUUUAUAUUUAAAUUUUGGUAUUAAUCAAAUAUUAAUUUUAAUUUUUUUAAUUAUUUAAAAAAAUUACCAAAUCAGUUAAUGAAUUUAAUGCAUUAGCUCUCAAUUGAUUUGAAAUAUGUUUGUCUAAUGAUAAAACUUGAAAAUUAUACAGUUAUACGCACUUAAAAAAUUGGCCAAGCGAUUGUAGAUCAGUUUUGUUCCAACAAAUUCUAGUAUUAAUUGGCUUGAAUUGAGUUCUAAAUGAUUUUUAAACUUUGUUAAACUUAUUAAGGAAUCCAACGCAUCAAAUUGGAUUUAGAAGAUGACACAUCUCAAAGCAAAACAAUAGGGAAAGGUAUAACAAAUCACAAAUUCAAUGUUAUAAAUAUCAAAAAUUAAACUGAAACAAUCUCAAAUGACAAAAAUUAAAAAGAUUCUAUAGAUAAGGAAAUAAAAGCAAUAAAGAAAAAUAACACAUUGAAAUUAAAUCCCUUCCAAAAGGGAAAAAGGCAAUUGGAGGAAAAUAGGUAAACAAUGAGUCAAAUCCUAUUUUUCGAAAACAACCAAAUGUUUAGAAAACAAUAAUAAAUAAAUAAAUAAAAUGAAAUAAAAUAAAAUAAAUAAGAUCUCCUUUAAGACUAAAUGAUUCCAUUGAAUUGAGUAUGAUUGUAUGUGUGAUAGCAUCAACUAUACUAAGAAUAUCAAUGACCUUUUGGCAACCAACCUUCAAAAUAUAAAGAGGAAAGAUGUGCAAAGAAGAAUCUAAAAGGAGAAAUAGAGAGACACAAAGUAAGAUUAGUGGUUAAGGGUUACAAGCAUCAACUUGUAAACAACACAUUAGCAAUUGCACUAUCAAAAAAAUCCAAUUUUAUAUGUUUGAAACAAUAUAUUGAUACAAAAUAUCAUUUUAUUAGAGAGUACAUGAUGAAGAAGAAAGUAUAAUUAAAUUUGCAAAAUCUCAAGAUUAAAUUGCAAAUAUUUUCACCAAACCUCUCAAGUUUAAAAAUUUCAGAAAGUUAAGUAUGUUACUUGGAGUUACAAAUAAAGUUUAAGGGGAAUAUUGGAAAGUUAAACUUGAUUUAGAAAGUUUCCAAAAAUUAGAACUAGAUUUAGUCUCCACAAUUCAAAGAUAAUAUUUUAUUUUCAAUGGUUGUUUAUAUUUGAGUAGUCAAGUUCUAGAAGGUUAAUUUCUAUAUUUUGUUAUUAGAAUUUUCUAUUUUGUUAAGUGUAAAUAUCUAUAAAUAAGAUUUUAUGUAAUAUUUGAAUAAGAAAGUGUAAAGAUGAAUCUCACCUACGGAUAAUAGCUAGAAGGGGCUAAAUAGAUGUUUUUUAAGACAUCUUAAGAUGGUAUUUCACAAAUGCUUACAAAUCCCUUAUUUUUCUCAAAUGUUUUGGUUUGUUUUUUUUAUUUUAUUAACAAAAAAAAAAAAAAAAAACAAAUCAUAAGUAAUAAUGGAUGCAUCAACACUCUCUCAUUAAGUGAGUCAAUACAAAUCACGUACAAAUGAAUCAACACUCCUCAACUAUAAUGUAUAAGACAUUAUAUGCAUCAACACAAAUCCCAUUUUCGCAUGUCCCUUGACAUUAAUAUCAAAAACUGAAAUAUACCAUAUUCUUUCAAAGCUUCAAUGGUUUAAUUUAAGCUCAUAUUUCAAUUAAACAACAAAUAAUUCAAUAGAAAUAUCAUAAGCUAAUGAAAAACUAAAUAAAAGAUGAGGUAGAAUAGAGAAACAAUGACACCAAUAUUUUAUCAUGGAAAACCUACAAAGGGAGAAAAAACCAUAGACCUCGAGCGAUCAAAUCAUUCACCAUGAAGAAAAUUGACUAAGUACAAGGAUUUACCUAACCCAAACCUUCAAUCCUCUCCCGGUCCACUUGCCUAAAAUCUUCAAACUUUAGCAACCCACUUUCUUCUUCUAGAACACACUUCAAAUCCAUACCAAGUUUGAUCUUGACCUCUUCUUAAAUCCACAUAAGAAGAUAUUUGAGUUUUUACCCCAAAUAAGAUGAAUACAAGCGUAGAGAUGAAACUCACACCGAAUCAACCUAUUUUGAAAGAAAUUUUCUCACUCAAAAAUGAUUUUCAACUCAAACCCAUAAAAUUUUCAGUCAAACCAAACACCCCGAAAACAGGUAAUAGAAUAUGAAGCUCAAGGGAGGCCACCUAUCUCUCUCAGCCCACCCUUCCUCUUAUAAAAAUAGAGCUUACAUAUUAGGGUUUUAAAACCCAUUAAACGGCUGAGAUUUGUUUGGAAAAUAAUGAAGAUUCGUAGUGUGAUCGAAGUCUGAUCACAAGACUGAAAAAAUCUGGGUUCAACAAAAACUGUUACCCUUCAGUUUUAUGUUGUGGUUGAGUACUACUCGAUAAUAGUGAGUGGUAGCAUUUAUGGAGGACCAUCACAUGAUGGUCCAAAUGAGAAGUAGCUAGAUAUGAUACUAAAAAUUGAUGUAAGGUAAUCAAGUAAAAGUUAACGAGUUGGAUCGAAACAGGUUCUGACUUUCUGUACGUAGCUGCAUUUAGAAAUGAAGGUUUUACAGGCAAAGAUGUUUCAGACACUUCUUCACCAAACCCAUGUAUAAAAGGAACAGAUUGAACCGAAAGCUACUUCAUUAUGGUUUUGUGGAGAGUUGCUUUUCUUGAGAAGUUCUAUAUAGGCUUUCUGUUACUUGUGACCUAAGUGCUUCAAAUCAAUCAAUUUGCUUUUCGUGCCAGAAUGAAAGCAUUGAUUAUAUUAGAAGUUCAUGUUCAAGUUUAAAGUAAAGUAAAUAUGUGAAGACAGCUAAAUCGUUUAAGGCAUUUUUUUGUUAUCAAAUCUAAUUCCCUUUAUUUCCCUCCAUUUUUUUUUUCUCAGCUUCUGAGUUCAUGAAAUUACAGUUACAUGGAAUUUGGCCCACAGGAAAUCUCUUUUAGAAAAUCUUAUCUGGUUUACUUCACAAUUUUUGUUUAGAUGUGAAAAUUAAGAACAAUUGCAUGCUGUUGAUCAAGACAUCCAUGUUUAGCAAUUCAUCCUCUCAUUGAAAUAAAUGUAAAUGUUCCAUUUAUUUAAAAGUUUGCGAAUCUUAAGUAGAUGGCAAACAGAUCAAUAAGGUCCAAUAACAGAACAAAUUAAUGGCUAGUAUAUACUGAAAGAGAACUCAAGGGUAUAAAAUAAAAACAAAAUGAUCCAAACUGCAAAGCAUCAUGGCCAUGGCAAGGUCCUUAUUGUUGAACUGGCUGUCUUUCUUUGAUGUUAAUAGUCGUUGUACCCCCAAAAGAUCUUCCUGUUCCUUCUGAUAUCAAUUAUUCAUUCUAUCCUAUAAUCUGCACGGAAAACAGAGGAAUGUUAAAUACUGUAUGAAUGAUGAAAAUGGGAAAUGUGGUCUGUAUUAUAUAUACUUACAUGAAACUAGAAGAGGCAAUUCAUUUAGUAAUAUGGUGGAGGAGGUGAAGGAGAGGAAGGGGGUGGUGACUUGUGGUAGUAGACUGGUGGUUGGGGUGAUGGAGAAGGUAGUGGUGGGGAUUUGUAGAGGUAUGGUGGAAGAGGAGAUGGAGAUGGAGGAGGUGAGGACUUGUAAUAGGAUGGAGAAGGUGGUGGUGGUGAUUUGUAGUAGUAAGGAGGAGGUGGGGAAGGAGAUGGUAGAGGUGGGGACUUAUAGUAAUAAGGAGGUUGAGGAGAUGGUGAUGGAGGAGGAGGUAAUUUAUAGUCGUAGUGAGGAGGGGGUGAUGGUGAAGGUAGUGGUGGUGACUUGUAGUAAUACCACGGAGGAAGAGAUGGAGAUGGAGCCAGAGGUGACAGCGGUGGUAGUGAUUUGUAGUAAUAAGGAGGCAGUGAUGAUGGAAAAGGUGGGAGCGGUGGCAGUGAUUUAUGGUAAUAAGGAGGUAGUGAUGAUGGAAAAGGUGGGAGCGGUGGCCGUGAUUUAUAGUAAUAAGGAGGUAGUGAUGAUGGAAAAGGUGGGGAUGCAAAAGUAUUAGGAUUGUAAGGCUCGUCUUCAGCAGCUACAUUAGCGGCAAUCAAGCACAAAGCCAAGACACAAAUCAGGUGAGGCCAAAAAUUGGCCAUUUCCAGAACACGAGAAAAUUUCACUCCUACAACUCAAGAACUUCUAUUUCUUAGAACAGAAGGGAUUUUGUGAAUGAUGCUUCAAGGUAGAGGCUCAGAGUUUAUAUAGUCAUCCUUUCCAUAAUUCUUUCAUUUGUUUAAUUAGUAGUUGUUGAAGCCUCCAAUCUUUAACAAGUCUACAACUAAAUGGUAUUCCCCUAUUUUCUAUGUGUUACCUGCACAUCUGUCCAUGAAAAGUCAAGAAGAUUAGUAAACAUAUAUAUACAAGAGUGCAUUUCAGUUUUGGUUGUUGGGAGCCUAGAAGCUUCCCCAUAUAUUAUGUCAAAUGUGACUGCCAUCUUUAAGAAUUUACCAUGGAAAACUCAACAUAAAAUAUUACUAUGAAGCAUGUCUACCAAGCAAAAAGCUAGGGCUAUUAGAUCUCCUUCUACCAUAACUUCCUGUUUUUCGAAAAUUUGUCAUACAUUGAAACCUUUUUCAAAACAACAAAAAGAUUUAAUAUUGCAAAUAAUUUACGGGCAUUAAUUAGGAAGGUAAUGCACUAAUAAACCUAAAAUCAAUGCCAAUUUUUCUAGAAAGGCAUCGUUGUCUUUCAAUAACUUCUUAAGCUAGCUAUUUAAUAUUAUAGGACGACUAGGUCUAUGAAUGAGAUCAUCAUAUGCAUUUUCAAUAACAAGUAAUGGACCCUUGUUUUUCCAUUGGAUUUGAGUAACGAUGAAAGUUCUUUAGGAAAAGGAAAGAAACAUAAUUAAUCUCUUAAAUUUCUUCUUCAUGCAUGUUGCUAGAUAAAGGAUUGAUGGGGCAAGCAACAAAGGGAGAUUAUUUAAAGAGAUUUUGUAAUAACUACUUUGGAAUUGGGAGUUGUAGAAAGUGGAAGAGAAAAUGUUCAAGGAAUAGUUCAUUCCUCAAAUGUUCAUCCAUUCCUUUGUAUAGGGUUUUGCCUUUAAAUAUCAACAAAACUGCUCAAGGUGUAUUUGAUAGUAAUUUUAGAAAGUAUUUUUAACCUUUAUAAUACUUAAAAAAAAAAAAAAUUGUUAAGUGUCAAAAAUAUUAAAAACACAUCUUAAAAUCACUACUAAACGGACUCUUAAAAGUUCAUAUGAAAUUAAUCAAAUUAGAUAAGGACAGGUUCUAACCUGUGGACAUAUAUGUAGAACUAAGGUCUUAGAACCGGUGAUGAUGAGAUUGCAAUCACAACUCACAACCAAAUAUCAUACAUACUUGAAAGAAACAAAUUGGAAGGAAAUCUAUUUCAAUAUGAAUUAUAAAGUGUUUUUGUGGUUAAUAUAAAAAAUAAUGACACUACAUGCAACUUACAUAUGUACUUGCUUUAUAUGCUAACGACAUUAUUUAUAUGCUAGAUAUUAACUAGACACCAUCAAUCAAGUCUAUAUAUAUAUAUAUAUUAUUAUUUAUAUCUUUAUACUUUGAUCUCAUUUGUUUAUUUCUUCGUUCAACAACACAAAUCUCAUCAUGCAUGUUUAAUGAUCCGGAUUUAGAGCUCAAUAGAUAUCACUAGGGUAGCUUAGGAUUUUCUUACCUAAAAUUACUAUAAGAAGUACUCAAGGAAAAAGAAAAUGAAUGAUCUAAAAGUGGAUCCCUUGCAACACUUCAAGGAGUCGAGAUUUGUACUUGGUUGGGCUUGGAAUUCUAAUAAUCCUAGUUGGCUGGGCACUUGGCUUUCUAAUAAUUCUAGUUGUCGCAUUAACGGAAACUGUUUGUAACUCAACAGUAUGGACAAUUGAAAUGUUUAUGGAGUAUUGUUAAUCAAAGCUGCCAUGGGAAAAUCUUUUGUUUGAAGCCCUUCACUGGAAUAUUCAAUAAAUAUAGCUAGCGCCACUUUCCCUCAGAAAUAAUUCCCCCCAAUACCUUAAAUGGUAUGCUUAAUUUCUUAUUCACUUUUACACACCUAUUCAUCUUAAUUACCAAAUGCACCCACUUUCUGUUUUUUUUUUCUUUUAACUCAUUAAUGUUUUAAAAAAAAUUGGUAUUAAUCAAAUAUUAAUUUUAAAAUUUUUAAUUAUUUUAAAAAAUUAUCAUAUCGGUUAAGAAAUUUAAUGCAUUAGCUCUCACUUGAUUUGAAAUAUGUUUGUCUAAUGAUAGAACUUGAAAAUUAUAUAGUUACACGCACAUAAAAAAUUGGCCAAGCCAUUGUAGACCGGUUUUGUUCCAACAAAUUCUAGUAUUAAUUGGCUCGAAUCAAGUUCUAAAUGAUUUUUAAAAUUUAUUAAACUUAUUAAGGAAUCCAAUGCAUCAAAUUGGAUUUAGAAGAUGACACAUCUCAAAGCAAAACAAUAGGGAAAGGUAUAAUAAAUCACAAAUUCAAUGUUAUAAAUAUCAAAAAUUAAACUGGAAUAAUCUCAAAUGACAAAAAUUAAGAAGAUUCUAUAGAUAAGGAAAUAAAAGCAAUAACAAAACAUAAUACAUUGAAACUAAAAUCCUUUCCAAAAGAGAAAAAGGCAAUUGGAGGAAAAUGGGUAAACAAUGAGUCAAAUCCUAUUUUUUGAAAACAACCAAAGGUUUAUAAAAUAAUAAUAAAUAAAUAAAUAAAAUGAAAUAAAAUAAAAUAAAUAAGAUCUCCUUUAAGACUAAAUGAUUCCAUUGAAUUGAGUAUGAUUGUGUGUGUGAUAGCAUCAACAGUACUAAGAAUAUCAAUGACCUUUUGGCAACCAACCUUCAAAAUAUAAAGGGGAAAGAUGUGCAAAGAAGAAUGUAAAAGGAGAAAUAUUAGAGAGACACAAAGUAAGAUUAGUGGUUAAGGGUUACAAGCAUCAACUUGUAAACAACAAAUUAGCAAUUGCACUAUCAAAAAAUCCAAUUUUAUAUGUUUGAAACAAGAUAUCAAUACAAAAUAUCAUUUUAUUAGAGAGUGCAUAAUGAAGAAGAAAGUAUAAUUAAAUUUGCAAAAUCUCAAGAUUAAAUUGCAAAUAUUUUUACCAAACCUCUCAAGUUUAAAAAUUUUAGAAAGUUAAGUAUAUUACUUGGAGUUACAAAUAAAGUUUAAGGGGGAUAUUGGAAAGUUAAACUUGAUUUAGAAAGUUUCCAAAACUUAGAACUAGAUUUAGUCUCCACAAUUCAAAGAUAAUAUUUUAUUUUCAAUGGUUGUUUAUAUUUGAGUAGUCAAGUCCUAGAAGGUUAAUUUCUAUAUUUUGUUAUUAGAAUUUUCUAUUUUGUUAAGUGUAAAUAUCUAUAAAUAAGAUUUUAUGUAAUAUUUGAAUAAGAAAGUGUGAAGAUGAAUCUCACCUAUGGAUAACAGCUAGAGGGGGCUAAAUAGAUGUUUUUUAAAACAACUUAAGAUGGUAUCUCACAAAUGCUUACAAAUCCCUUAUUUUUCUCAAAUGUUUUGGUUUGUUUUUUUUUAUCUUAUUAAAAAAAAAACAAAUCAUAAGUAAUAAUGGAUGCAUCAACACUCUCUCAUUAAGUGAGUCAAUGCAAAUCACAUACAAAUGAAUCAACACUCCUCAACUAUAAUGUAUAAGACAUUAUAUGCAUCGACACAAAUCCCAUUUUCGCAUGUCCCAUGACAUUAAUAUCAAAAACUGAAAUAUACCAUAUUCUAUCAAAGCUUCAAUGGUUUAAUUUAAGCUCAUAUCUCAAUUAAACAACAAAAUAAUUCAAUAGAAAUAUCAUAAGCUAAUGAAAAACUAAUUAAAAGAUGAGGUAGAAUAGACAUAUAAGGGAAGCAGCCUAAAAUCAUGCCUAUCAUUCAAUUCUAUAUUCUGUCAUAUAGCUGUAUAUUGUAACAGUAGCAUAGAUUUAGCCUUACCGUUUCUAAAUUUGAAUCAUAUAGUUGUAUAUUGUAACGGUAGCAUCCUUAUCGUGUAUAUGUUUCUUAAACUAGCUUCUUAAUCACUUUAUAUAAUAGAGUUUCCAUCAAUAAAAUGAGUUGGAAAUUCUUCAUUGAAACUACGACAAUAUUUUUUUCUUUAUAUGGUAUCAGAGCACUGAUCUCAAAUGAGCCAUCGAUCCAAGUUAUCACCAUGCCUUCCUCCUCUGAUCAAACUCCAAACUUUAAUCUCAAUACUCAACUUCCAUCUGCAGUCGAUAAACCCCUAAUUGCUCUCAAUAUCACAACCCAAAUCAAUGAAAAAUUAACUCCCUCCACAUUUUCUCAAUGGUGUGCUCAAUUUGAAGCACUCAUUAUUGGUUACGAUUUACUCAACUAUGUUGAAGGCACCAUUCGGUGCCCUUCCUCUACUGCUACUCCUACUGAUGAGUUGCACAAAACCCAUUGGGUCCGAUAGGAUAAACUUAUCUUGAGUGCUAUUCUAGCCUCCACAUCUUCUUCAAUCACACCACUCAUUGCUACGUCAAAGACCUCCCAUGAAGCUUGGAAAAAAUUAAAACCUCUAUAUGCUACCCGAUCAAGAACACAUGCUAUGCAAUUAAAGGAGGAACUCACCUUAAUCCAGCGAGGAGAUCGGUCGAUUAUAGAAUGCAUCCAUCCUCUAAAGUCCUUGGCCAAUGAAAUAACCAUUAUUGAUCAUUCAAUUUCGGAUGAUGACCUAACCCUUUGUGUGUUGAAUGGCUUAGGUCUAGAUUUUCGAGAGAUUGUUGUGCAUAUCUGAGCUCGAGAAUCAUCACUGGCUUUUGAGGAGUUGCAUGAUCUUUUGGUUGGACACGAGGCAUACUUAUGACGCAUAGGAGUUGCGAUGCAGAACCUAGUUGCUUCUGCAAAUUUCAUAAAGAUGACGAAGUAGUCUCCACAAUGAGGAAGUCACCCGUGGUCUUUCAAGCAAACUAGCUUUCACCAUGAGCCUCGAGGUUCUCAACAAAGCUGCAACUCAAAUGGAGCCCAACGUGAUGGAUGUCGCUCCAACAAUAACUCUAGGCGACCCAACAACUCCAAUUGGUGUUACCAGCCCAAAUGUCAAAUUUAUGACCAAUUGGGCCACACUGCAAAGUUCUGUCCUCAACUCCAUUCAUAGAAUGCCUCCAUCAAUUGUGCUGCAAUCUCUACUGGCAAGGACAAAAAUUGGUUACUUGAUUCGACUAUUUCUCAUAAUAUCACGGGUGAUCUUUCCAACUUAUCUAUUCACUCCGAAUAUGAUGGAAUUGACAAAGUAAUUCUCAGUAAUGGUUCAAGUUUGGUUGUCUCACACAUCGGUUUUUUGGAUUUACACUCCCCUCAUCGAAAUUUUACAUUGCAUGAUACUCUUUGUGUUCCAAAUCUUUGCAGAAAUUUAAUUUCCGUUCAUCAUCUCACCAAACAAAACAAUGUCUUGGUUGAAUUUCACCAUUUUCAUUUUCUUGUGAAGAACAAGAUCACGGGGGCAAUCCUACUAAGAAGAGCAUGUAACAAUGGCAUCUACACUUUUCCGACAUCAAUGGUGGCAUAAAAAAAUAUUGCUAAUGUGCAUGAACACAGAUGGAUGGCACAAGCGUCUUGGGAUUCCUUCUACUAAAAUUGCCCAUCAUCUUGUCAAUAAAUUUUCUCUUCCUAUGUCCUUGAACAAAAAGUUUAUCUUCAUUAUGUUCUUCAUGUUCUAUUAAUAAAGCACAUCAACAACCACUUUGUGUCACUAGUCUCCAAAGUCAUGAGCCACUUGACCUUAUUUACACGGAUGUGUGGGGUCCCGCUAGUUAUACUGGAAUUGAUGGAUCACGAUAUUACCUUAUUUUUGUUGAUCAUUAUACAAAAUAUAUAUGAUUUUAUCCAAUGGUCACAAAAUCCAAUGUUUCUAAUAUUUUCCCGCAUUUCAAAAAGUUUGUUGAAACUUGUUUUUAAAAAUCUAUUAAAACACUUUACUUCAAAAAUGGUGGUGAGUUUAUCGCUUUAAAAUCUUAUUUAUUACUUCAUGGCAUAACUCACUACACCACUGCUCCACACACUCAACAACAAAAUGGUGUCUUUGAACGUUAUCACUGUCAUCUCGUUGAAACGAACCUUACACUUCUUCAUGAUGCAAAUCUUGCUUUCUCAUAUUGGCCCUAUGCUUUUCAAACAACUUCUUAUCUCAUAAAUAAACAACCAAUGCCUUUCCUCCAAGAAAAAAAUACCUUUUGAAGCCCUUUUUGGUCAACCACCCAAUUACUUGAAAUUAAAAAAAUUUGGGUGCAUUUGUUAGCCCCUCACACGAGCCUAUAAUUCAAAUAAAAUGCAGCCCAAAUCCAAAGUCUGCAUUUUUCUCGGUUAUUCACCAACCCAAAACGCAUACAAGUGUUUUGAACCUCAAACAAAAAAUUCUUUCUCUCACGGCAUGUGUUAUUUGAUGAAAAUCUAACAUAUUCCAGUCUAUCCUAAACUGCGUCUUCCAUAACAACCCAACCCACUCGAGAAUCUCACAUUUUUUUUCAUUUUUUCUUCUUCAAUUCUCAGCAGGCUGUCGUGUCUCCAUCACAGUUGUCCGGUACACCUAUCUCAUCGUUGUCUCCGGAAGGUCCGCCUACCAUUGUUGCGUCUUCCUUAGGUGAUUUCGGACCCUCUGCUCCUUUCUUUCAUGAUUGCUUGCAAACCCUAGAUCACAACACCACCCACUUGAAUUUUCCUUUACAUGACACUCAGACUGGUCCUUCUUUAAAUUUGCAAUCACGCUCUCAUGAUCAGCAUCUAGGUCUAGCUAAUACUUCCAAUUUUCCAACCCCUACCGAAACCAAUAAUUUUCCCCAACGCACUCAUACCAUGACCAUAAGAUCAAUGUACCAAAUCUUCAAACCCAAACAACUCCACACUGUGUCAAAAUAUCCUCUCUCCUCGACCAUUGAACCAACCAAUGUGAGCCAAGCCAUUUCUCAACCUCAUUGGCGUGAGGUCAUGUCUAAUGAGCUUACUGCUCUAAUGAAACAUAGGACUUGGGACAUAGUUUUACCACCUUCAAACUGUAAACCCGUGGGUUGUAAAUGGGUAUUUUGAGUAAAAAGAAAAGCUGAUGGGUCAGUGGACAGGUUCAAAGUCUGUCUAGUUGCUAAGGGCUAUAAUCAACGUCUUGGUGUUGAUUACAAAGACACUUUUAGUCUUGUCAUCAAACCAACAACUAUUAGAUUUGUCCUAUCUAUUGUAGUCAUGAAUGGAUGGGUUUUGAGGCAACUGAAUAUCAACAAUGCUUUUCUAAAUGGUGAAUUAUCUGAGACUGUGUUUAUGGCAUAACCCCCAGGGUUCAAAGAUUUGUCCAAACCUAAUCAUGUUUGCAAGUUAAAAAAAUGCCAUCUAUGGGCUUAAAUAAGCCCCGCGAGCUUGGUACACAAUGCUAAAAAAUGCCAUUCUUCAGUUGGGUUUUCAUAAUUCCAAAGUGGAUUCCUCUCUCUUCAUUUACAACCAUGGUUCCAAUCUUUAUUAUUUCUACAGGGAAUAAUUUCAUACUUAUGGCCACUAUUAUGAAGCAGCUGGGUGACAUGUUUUCUCUCAAAGAUAUGGGUUCUCUUCAUUUUUUCUUAGGAAUUGAAGUAAUUCCUACUCGGGCAGGAUUAUUCCUCUCACAACAUAAAUAUGUUCAUGAACUUUUAGCCCACACCAGUAUGAGUAGUGCAAAAGAUGUCUCCAUACCUCUCUCUACCACUCAAUCUCUUCAACUGGUUGAUGGCAUUGUUGCUGUGGACAACUCAGAGUUCUGUAAAAUCAUUGGCAGCCUUCAAUACCUUUCUUUGACGCAUCCAGAUAUCUCAUUUGCAGUAAAAAAAACUCUCGCAAUUUAUGCACAAGCCGACUACAAAUCACUGGACAGAAACCAAACGACUCAUUCGAUACUUAAAACAAACCAUUUUUUUAUGGUAUUCAAAUCAACAAAGCUGGAACUCCAGUAUUAAGAACAUACUCAGAUGUAGAUUGGGCUGGAAAUGUGGACGACUGCACGUCCACCUCUGCUUCUAUCAAUUUUUUGGGAUCUAACCAAAUUUCUUGGAGCUCAAAGAAACAAAGAGCAGUUGCAAGAUCCUCAAUAGAAGUUGAAUACCGAGACUAGCAACUGCGGCUUCCGAGACAAUGUGGAUGUCUACUCUCUUCAAAGAACUAGCAUUUCCAAUCAAAGAAUCUCCCCAAUUGUUAUGUGACAACCUUGGAGCCACACAUCUCAGUUUUAACUCGGUUAAUCAUUCACGCAUGAAACACAUUCAAAUUGACCUUCACUUUGUGCGUGACUUAGUGCAAAAAGGAAGCAUCCAAGUCAGCCAUGUACAUACUCAAGACCAAUUAGCUUAUCUGUUAGCAAAGUCGUUGUCCAAACAACGCACAGAAUUGUUACGCAACAACAUUGUCCUUACCGAUGGAAGCCCUAUCUUGCAGGGGUGUAUAAGGGAAACAUCCUAAAAUCAUGCCUAUCAUUCAAUUCUAUAUUCUGUCAUAUAGUUGUAUAUUGUAACAGUAGCAUCCUUACCGUGUAUAAGUUUCCUAAACUAGCUUCUCAAUCACUCUAUAUAACAGAGUUUCUAUCAAUAAAAUGAGUGGGAAAUUCUUCAUUGAAACUACGACAAUAUUUGUUUCUCUAUAAGAGAAACGGUGACACCAAUAUUUUAGCAUGGAAAACCUAAAAAAAGGAGAAAAAACCAUAGACCUCUAGCGAUCAAAUCAUUCACCAUGAAGAAAAUUAACUAAGUACAAGGAUUUACCUAACCCAAACUUUCAAUCCUCUCUUGGUCCACUUGCCUAAAAUCUUCAGACUUUAGCAACCCACUUUCUUCUUCUAGAACACACUUCAAAUCCAUACUAAGUUUGAUCUUGACCUCUUCUUAAAUCCACAUAAGAAGAUAUUUGAGUUUUUACCCCAAAUAAGAUGAAUAUAAGCGUAAAGAUGAAACUCACACUGAAUCAACCUAUUUUGAAAGAAAUUUUUUCACUUAAAAAUGAAUUUCAACUCAAACCCAUAAAAUUUUCAUUCAAACCAAACACCUCAAAAACAGGUAAAAGAAUAUGAAGCUCAAGAGAGGCCACCUAUCUCUUUCAGCCCGCCCUUCCUCUUAUAGAAAUAGAGCUUAAAUAUUAGGGUUUUAAAACCCAUUAAACGGAUGAGAUUUGUUUGGAAAAUAAUGAAGAUUCAUAGUGUGAUCGAAACCUGAUCACAAGACUGAAAAAAUCUGGGUUCAACAAAAACUGUUACCCUUCAGUUUUAUGUUGUGGUUGAGUACUACUCGAUAAUAGUGAGUGAUAUCAUUUAUGGAGGACCAUCACAUGAUGGUCCAAAUGAGAAGUAGAUAUGAUACUAAAAAUUGAUGUAAGGUAAUGUCCCGUCCCAAGACCCACUCCAAGGGCAUGAAGGUCAUUUCACACCUCAAACCCAAAGGCUUAAAGUGUAACCUGACCCAAACAAUUAUCUUAUAACUGGAAGUUACCAAUUACCAAAUACCUGUUUAGAGUAGCAAAAUAAAAUUCUAAAAUCUUCAAAACUUAACUUUAAAACUAAGCAUCCAUCAACCAAAAUCCAUUUUCCAAAUAAAUUGCAAACUCAAACAAUUCAAGUGCUAACAAAAAUUUUCAUAAUCUCCAAAUCUCAACUUCAAACUAUCAAAAAAAAUUUAAAAGUUCAAUAUCUAAAUAGCUUCCAAAAACCAAAUAAUCCAAAUGAACAUAAACUUAUAAGCUAACAAUGUCCAAAAAUAACAUCCUAAGCAAAAUCCUAAUGAUGACCAUUCCCCGACCUAGCCAUCACUCAUCGCCCGAACUAAGUGUACCUGAAAAAUUAUCAACAAAAGAGAAUGAGCUCAAAGCCCAAUAAGGAACAUUAUUAUAGUCCAUGGAUCAAAUAUUUCAAGUUCACUUGUAAAAUAGGAGAUAUUAUAACUAAUUAUUUUCAUAAACCUUUGAGUCAGUUUUGUCAAUACAUUCAAAACUUUUAAUUGAACACUUUCAUUUCUGAUUCAAACAUUUUCAUAUCAAAUUCAGUCAAAACAUUCAAAUCAUUUAUUUACUUUGGUCAUCAAACAUUAAAUGAUGUCCAAUUAGGUGAGACUUUUCAAAUAAGUGGCUAGCCUCAAAUUGUUCAUUUAAGGUGGACGAAACCAAACACUACUAGUACUAGUAACCUCUAACCAAACCCCUAGAGGUUGGGGUCCAAAUCAAUUACAUUCCCCACCAAGAAAUGUAAAUGUCAACUAUUAUAUUUCGUCGACAAGGGUCAAACAAACCAAAAUCAAACACUUAUUUCAAUUAUUCAAAUUUGCAAAACAUAAUAUCUCCAUAUUUCUCUGUUGUGAACAAAAUGUAAGGUUCUAACAUACUUUUCAUGCAAAACAUAUUUGAUUCAUGCAUAAAACGAAUAAUAACUCAAAGCGUUUCCAAAUGAUGUAUAUAAAAAUUUGUUUCUAAAAAAAAAAAAAAACCUGCAUUAAUUUCCCUUACCUCAAAAGAAGUCUUCAAAAACUUAGGAGAAAAAUAAUUCUUAAAAAUCUACUCCUCACCUAACAAAGUAUAAGAGAAAUAACCAUUAUUAUUUAUCUAAAAUUAUAGGUUUGACAAUCCUAAAAGGUAUUCAAAUUAAUGUUUUUAAUUAUAAAAGAUAAUUUAAUCUAUUCCUAUUUUAGAAAAAUUAAUAAAUUUCUAAUUCAUAUAAAACUUAAAUUUUAUUUUCAAUUUAUUUCUUAGGAUACAACAUAAUUUAAUUAAACUACAAUUUAUUCUACUAAUUAAAUUUUAUGCCACUUAUUAACUUACACUCAUCAUUAGUAUAAUAAUAUUGAUAACUUCUAUUCUCUUUCUUUCAAUUUUUUUUUUCCACUAAACAUAAAUUGUAACCCUAACAAUUCUCCAUUAUUGCUAACAUAAUAAUGUAAAGAUAUUUAUUAACCACCAAACACCAUCCGUACACAUCUUCCUUUAUUAUUAAUAUUACUAUUUUUUUUCUUUUAAAAAAAAUAAAAAAUUCCUCCAGUGCAAGUGUGUUCUUUUUUUUUCCCCUAAUGUUUUCUAAUCCCUUAACCCACAUAUAAUAAUAUAUUUAUUUACUCAUUUAUUUAUUUAUUUUUAAAAAAAUCAUUACUUAGAUCUAUUCAUCUAAAAAAUUUUGAAUUUCCCUUAUUUCAACAAUAGAACAAUCUAUAUUCCCAAUUUCAAUAUUUUGACCUAAAAGUUUUAAAUAGGUUAAGUCUAGCCUAAAUUGAAAUCUUUCAAAGAAAUUUUUUUUUUUUUCAAAAACUUAAGAUUUCCCAAUUUUUAAUAAUAAAACCACCAAUAAUCCUAAAUUUCUAAUAUUUUGAUAUUAAAACGAAUUAAAAAAAAAACUAACCCUAAUCUAAAUUAAAAAAAUAAAAUUCAAAGAAUAACUAACGUGUUUAGAACUAACUAUUGAAUAUAAUAUAUUAAUUUAAGAUUAGAAUCUUACCUAGAAAAAAAACCUGAAUUUCAACUUUAAAUCUCUAACCCUUGAGCCCUACGAACUCCAAUUCUCUACUUCUAGUUAAUAGGGUUUUCUGAACGAAGAAGAAAAGAGGAAAAAUCCAAUUUAUACCUAGGAUUUUUAAUUGUAAAAUGACUCUUUCACCCUCAAUGAAUUUAAUUAAUUAUUUAAUUACUUUAUAAAUUACUAGUUUGCCCCUAGAUUAAAUUUUGGGGUGUUACAGGUAAUCAAGUAAAAGUUAACGAGUUGGAUCGAAACAGGUUCUGACUUUCUGUAGCUGCAUUUAGAAAUGAAGGUUUUACAGGUAAAGAUGUUUCAGACACUUCUUCACCAAAACCCAUGUGUAAAAGGAACAGAUUGAACCGAAAGCUACUUCAUUAUGGUUUUGUGGAGAGUUGCUUUUCUUGAGAAGUUCUAUAUAGGCUUUCAGUUACUUGUGACCUAUUGUGCUUCAAAUCAAUCAAUUUGAUUUUCGUGCCAGAAUGAAAGCAUUGAUUAUACUAGAAGUUCAUGUUCAAGUUUAAAGUAAAGUAAAUAUGCGAAGACUGUUUUUUGUUAUCAAACCUAAUUCCCUUUUUUUUCCUCCAUUUUUUUUUUUCUCAGCUUCUGAGUUCAUGAAAUUACAGUUACAUGGAAUUUGGCCCACAGGAAAUCUCUUUUAGAAAAUCUUAUCCGGUUUACUUCACAAUUUUUUUUUUAAAUGUGAAAAUUAAGAACAAUUGCAUGCUGUUGAUCAAGACAUCCAUGUUUAGCAAUUCAUCCUCUCAUUGAAAUAAAUGUAAAUGUUCCAUUUAUUUAAAAGUUUGCGAAUCUUAAGUAGAUGGCAAACAGAUCAAUAAGGUCCAAUAACAGAACAAAUUAAUGGCUAGUAUAUACUGAAAGAGAACUCAAGGGUAUAAAAUAAAAACAAAAUGAUCCAAACUGCAAAGCAUCAUGGCCAUGGCAAGGUCCUUAUUGUUGAACUGGAUGUCUUUCUUUGAUGUUAAUAGUCGUUGUACCCCCAAAAGAUCUUCCUGUUCCUUCUGAUAUCAAUUAUUCAUUCUAUCUAUCCUAUAAUCUGCACGGAAAACAGAGGAAUGUUAAAUACUGUAUGAAUGAUGAAAAUGAGAAAUGUGGUCUGUAUUAUUAUAUAUACUUACAUGAAACUAGAAGAGGCAAUUCAUUUAGUAAUAUGGUGGAGGAGGUGAAGGAGAGGAAGGGGGUGGUGACUUGUGGUGGUAGACUGGUGGUUGGGAUGAUGGAGAAGGUAGUGGUGGGGACUUAUAGUAAUAAGGAGGUUGAGGAGAUGGUGAUGGAGGAGGAGGUAAUUUAUAGUCGUAGUGAGGAGGGGGUGAUGGUGAAGGUAGUGGUGGUGACUUGUAGUAAUACCACGGAGGAAGAGAUGGAGAGGGAGCCAGAGGUGACAUCGGUGGUAGUGAUUUAUAGUAAUAAGGAGGCAGUGAUGAUGGAAAAGGUGGGAGCGGUGGCAGUGAUGAUGGAAAAGGUGGGAGCGGUGGCCGUGAUUUAUAGUAAUAAGGAGGUAGUGAUGAUGGAAAAGGUGGGGAUGCAAAAGUAUUAGGAUUGUGAGGCUCGUCUUCAGCAGCUACAUUAGCAGCAAUCAAGCACAAAGCCAAGGCACAAAUCAGGUGAGGCCAAAAAUUGGCCAUUUCCGGAACACGAGAAAAUUUCACUCCUGCAACUCAAGAACUUCUAUUUCUUAGAACAGAAGGGAUUUUGUGAAUGAUGCUUCAAGCUAGAGGCUCAGAGUUUAUAUAGUCAUCCUUUCCAUAAUUCUUUCAUUUGUUUAAUUAAUAGUCGUUGAAGCCUCC